AUAUAUAUAAUUUUUGAUUUUUAUAAUGUUUUUGCUUGAGGAGGGUGACGGGCGGUGUGUGCGUGCCUCAUGGCCUUAUUCAAUUAAGCACUCUAUUCUUAAUUUACUGCUAAAUCCUCCUUUGACUAGGAUUUCACACUAAUUUUCGUAAUAAUUAUCCUCGGUCAUGGGGAAAUGUAGCCCAUUGCUUUCCAAUCCAUGGGCUACACCUUGACCUAACGUUUUUAUGUUAAUAUUUAUGCUUACUGUGGUUCCUUUAUUAGGGUUUGCUGAAGAUGGCGGUAUAUAGGCUGAUUUGGCAAGGAUUGGUAAGGUAUAUCGGGGUUUAUCGAUUAUAGAACAGGCUCCUCUAGAGGGAUAUAAGGCACCGCCAAGUCCUUUGAGUUUCUAGCUUUUGCUGGUAGUACUCUGGCGAAUAAUUUUGUUAAUAAUUUUUUAUGUUUAGGGCUAAGCAUAGUGGGGUAUCUAAUCCCAGUUUGGGUCUUAGCUAUCGUGUAGUCAGAAUUUUUAAAGUUACUUUCGUUGAGUAUCUUACAGUAACUAAGGCUUUUUACAGCCUAGUUAGGGCUUGACUUUAUUAGUAGGUUAUACUCUAAAACACACUCUACGCCGAUUGUCUAUUAGUUUGGCCUAAUCGUAUGACCGCGGUGGCUGGCACGAGAUUUACCAGUCCUUAGAAAUAUAACUUAGUCAGACUUUCAUCUAUUGCUUAAUUUUUAUCACUGCUGUUUCCCGUGGGGGUGUGGCUGAGCAAGGUGU